rnacentral:rRNA from 1 species
GAUGAACGCUGGCGGCGUGCCUAAUACAUGCAAGUCGAGCGAACGGAUGAGAAGCUUGCUUCUCUGAUGUUAGCGGCGGACGGGUGAGUAACACGUGGAUAACCUACCUAUAAGACUGGGAUAACUUCGGGAAACCGGAGCUAAUACCGGAUAAUAUUUUGAACCGCAUGGUUCAAAAGUGAAAGACGGUCUUGCUGUCACUUAUAGAUGGAUCCGCGCUGCAUUAGCUAGUUGGUAAGGUAACGGCUUACCAAGGCAACGAUGCAUAACCGACCUGAGAGGGUGAUCGGCCACACUGGAACUGAGACACGGUCCAGACUCCUACGGGAGGCAGCAGUAGGGAAUCUUCCGCAAUGGGCGAAAGCCUGACGGAGCAACGCCGCGUGAGUGAUGAAGGUCUUCGGAUCGUAAAACUCUGUUAUUAGGGAAGAACAUAUGUGUAAGUAACUGUGCACAUCUUGACGGUACCUAAUCAGAAAGCCACGGCUAACUACGUG